rnacentral:rRNA from 1 species
UCGGGUUGUAAAGCACUUUUGUCCGGAAAGAAAACCUUCGCUCGAAUACAGUGGGGGGAUGACGGUACCGGAAGAAUAAGCACCGGCUAACUACGUGCCAGCAGCCGCGGUAAUACGUAGGGUGCGAGCGUUAAUCGGAAUUACUGGGCGUAAAGCGUGCGCAGGCGGUUCGUUAAGACAGAUGUGAAAUCCCCGGGCUUAACCUGGGAACUGCAUUUUGUGACUGGCGAGCUAGAGUAUGGCAGAGGGGGGGUAGAAUUUCCACGUGUAGCAGUGAAAUGCGUAGAGAUGUGGAGGAAUACCGAUGGCGAAGGCAGCCCCUGGGCCAAUACUGACGCUCAUGCACGAAAGCGUGGGGAGCAAACAGGAUUAGAUACCCUGGUAGUCCACGCCCUAAACGAUGUCAACUAGUUGUUGGGUCUUCAUUGACUUAGUAACGUAGCUAACGCGUGAAGUUGACCGCCUGGGGAGUACGGUCGCAAGAUUAAAACUCAAAGGAAUUGACGGGGACCCGCACAAGCGGUGGAUGAUGUGGAUUAAUUCGAUGCAACGCGAAAAACCUUACCUACCCUUGACAUGUACGGAAGUCUGCUG